rnacentral:lncRNA from 1 species
GAGGUUUAGAUGGUGAUGAUGAUGCCGUUGACGGAGUACUACGAAGGGCGUAGAGGGCGUAGAGGUCACGGAAGAUGGAGACGGCGCUGACUAGGCGAAAGACGCAGACGAGGAGGAAGGUGGGGGAGGAGCAGAAGGCCAUGUGGGAGAAGGAUCGAGAGACUGAGGUCUCUGUGCGUGUGUAUGGGAGAAGGGAGAAGAGAGAAGGAUCGAGAGAUCUCUAUGUGUGUGUGUGGGAGCAGGAAGAAGGGAGAAGAGAUAAUGAUAGAGAAAGAGAGACUGAGGUCUCUGUGUGCAUGUGUGGUAGCGUGUGAUGUGAGAGUCUCUGACUCUGUGUGUGUGUGUGUGGUGGGUGGCAUGUGAGAAAAAAAGAGCAUCCAAAUAAUUCAAAACCCUGACAACUUUUACAACUUGUACAAUUUUUUACAAGACAAAAAUAAUGGUGGUUUCAUCAAGAUUCAAAACUGUGUGCCACGCAUGAUAUUCUUUCACAUUCUUAGAGGUGGAGUAUCAGAUCAUCACACAUUUUUUGACCCUUCGAAAAUUGAAAAACCUCUAUUACACGUUUCGUUUCUUCUUCUUCCCUUAGCCCUUUCAGAGCCAUUCCAGAUUCAUUCCAGAGCCAUUUCAGAGCUUCAAAUUGAAUAAAUGGAUCUGUAGCUCGCGCCACUCCAAAUUAAAUGUUAAAUACCUUCUUUCUCUCUCAUUUAUUCACAGACGGCAAGCUUCAAAGGAUCGUCGAGGUUUUCCUGCUACGUACGACAUCAAAAGUUCCAGAUUUGUUACAUUUGUGUAAUUAUUAUUUUAUUGUUGCUUCACGCAGAUUCUACUUGGCCUUUACACAAAGGGUUCCAUGUUUAAGGUAAGUUUACGAACUUAUAUUUAUAUUAUUGUAAUUUAUACAACAACAAAAAAAAUUUGUGUGGACCCGUGCAUGUGAUCUAAGAACCAAAUAAUACUUGCAUGUUAAUUUUUUGAAGUAAUUAAGUAAUGUUGUAUAAUUAUUCCCUAGAAUAAUUUUAAUAUGUUUAAUGUUAUUAUAUUUUAUUAUCAAAUUGGAUUAUUAUUCAUUAAUAUUAGGUUUUAUUAUUCCAUAUUAUUUUUAUAAUUACUUAAAUUCUUACAAUUAUUUUCUUUACUUCCUAUUUAAUACUUCCUAUUUAAUUCUUCUAUAGAAUAAUUUUACUUCCUAUUUUCUUUACUUCCUAUUUAAUAUGUUUCCGUCACUACUAUAUUUUUUGGCCAAAAAAUAAUUGCCUAAUUUUCAUGAAAAUAGGUACGUUUAAGAUGUCCAGUGGAGUUACUAAACGUGAUCCAGCUUGGGAACAUGGAGACCCAAUAGACGGAAACAAACAUAACACAAUUUGCAAAUAUUGUGGUUGGGUAAUGAAGAGUGGCGAAGUGACACGACUUAAGUACCAUCUUAGUGGAUUAGAUCCAGGAAAUAAUGUCCAACGAUGCAAUAAUGUCACCCUAUAAGUGAAGGCAUUCAUCACCACAUUAUUAAAAAAAAUAAAAAACAGCAUAAGGAAAAGAUAACACAUGGAAUGGAAAAUAUUCGAGCUGGGCUAUGAGGAGAAGUCAUUGACCAAGCGGUUGACAGUGAUAAUGAUGACGAUGAGGACGGAUGUGAUGAUGACAUGAGACCUGAAGAACGACGCAGUUUCAAACAAGCAUUACGUACCUCCAAACAGUCAGCAUGGGAAAGAGAACACCUUCAUAAAAUUCCUAAUAGAGCACAAGGUUCCGGGACAGUGGUGGUGCACAAAUGAGAUGGGGAGCAAGUGUUAGAGAAUCACAACCAACACCACUAAUAACCCCAAGUUUAUAUAAGUCAUCCAAAGCACGUCAAAAAAGUGUUUGGAGUUAUUUCACUGGAGGUAAUGUGAAGGAGGGA